CUCACUGGGCUCAAGCCUAGAGGACAGUGUGGAGGUGGAUAAAUAGUGGUACAGAGGAUCAUACUUUAGGAGUGCCUGAGUAUGGUUACAGGCAAACAAGCUCAACUCUGCCCCACAACAUAGGCAGCGACACCCAAUUCUACCCCACACCAUAGGCAGCCACGCCCAAUUCUACCCCACAAUAUAGGUAA